rnacentral:tRNA from 1 species
GCGCCCAUAGCUCAAUUGGACAGAGUCGCGGCCUACGAAGCCGAAGGUUGGAGGUUCGAGUCCUCCUGGGCGCGCCA